rnacentral:tRNA from 1 species
ACUCCUAUAGCUUAAUUGGUAAAGCCCCUGCCUUAUAAGCAGGUAAGUCUGGCUAGAUGAGCUGACGAUCUAGGUUCGAGUCCUAGUGGGAGUA